GAAAUGCGAUACUUGGUGUGAAUUGCAGAAUCCCGUGAACCAUCGAGUCUUUGAACGCAAGUUGCGCCUGAAGCCAUUAGGCCAAGGGCACGUCUGCCUGGGCGUCACGCAUCGCGUCACCCCUCCUCCUAUUUCGGUGGAAGGGGUGGAAUGUGACCUCCUGUGCCUUCUUGGUGCAGUUGGUCGAAAUUUGAGUCCGGAGCUUAGGAUGUCACGGCAAGUGGUGGUUGGAUAACAACUCGCGUGCUGUCGUGUGCCGAACCUCUUGAGGCUGUAAAGACCCUGAUGCUCUUGUUCCCCCUUGCUCAUGUGGGGUGGGGCUAGUGCUACGACCGCGACCCCAGGUCAGGCGGGACUACCCGCUGAAUUUAA
rnacentral:misc_RNA from 1 species